rnacentral:rRNA from 1 species
CAGCCGUAAACUAUGCGCGUUAGGUGUAUCGGUGACCACGAGUCACCGAGGUGCCGAAGGGAAACCGUGAAACGUGCCGCCUGGGAAGUACGGUCGCAAGGCUGAAACUUAAAGGAUUGGCGGGGGAGCACCACAACAGGUGGAGCCUGCGGUUUAAUUGGACUCAACGCCGGACAACUCACCGGGGACGACAGCAAUAUGUAGGCCAGGCUGAAGACCUUGCCUGAAUCGCUGAGAGGUGGUGCAUGGCGUCAGUGACU